GAUUUCUGGCUUGAAACAUUUUGCCGGCCACGGUUUCGUGUGUUAGUGCUUGAUGUUCUGGCCAUCCUUCCAAUCGCUAUUGGCUUUUCUUCAUUGAGAGGUCAGUGGUAUUGGAUCUUUUACUUUGAAAAAAUUAGAGUGUUUCAAGCAGGCUUUAUGCUAUGAAUACAUUAGCAUGGAAUAAUAAUUUAGGACUUCGGUUCUAUUUUGUUGGUUUCUAGGACUGAAGUAAUGAUUGAUAGGGAUAGUUGGGGGUGCUAGUAUUCAGCGGCCAGAGGUGAAAUUCUUGGAUUCGUUGAAGACUAACUUAUGCGAAAGCAUU
rnacentral:rRNA from 1 species